UGAGGAAUCUUGCGCAAUGGGCGAAAGCCUGACGCAGCCACGCCGCGUGCCGGAUGAAGGCCCUAUGGGUUGUAAACGGCUUUUACUAGGGAAGAACGAGAGGGUUUCGAUCUUCUGUGACGGUACCUAGUGAAUAAGCACCGGCUAACUCCGUGCCAGCAGCCGCGGUAAUACGGAGGGUGCAAGCGUUGUCCGGAAUCAUUGGGUGUAAAGGGUACGUAGGCGGGAGCCUAAGUCUGGGGUGAAAUCUUGCCGCUUAACGGUAAAAUGGCCCUGGAUACUGGGUUUCUUGAGUGCAGAAGAGGCAGGUGGAAUUCGUGGUGUAGCGGUGAAAUGCUUAGAUAUCACGAAGAACAUCAGUGGCGAAGGCGGCCUGCUGGUCUGCAACUGACGCUGAGGUACGAAAGCGUGGGGAGCGAACAGGAUUAGAUACCCUGGUAGUCCACGCCGUAAACGAUGCAUACUAGGUGUUGGCCUUAGGGCCAGUGCUGCAGUUAACGCAUUAAGUAUGCCACCUGGGGAGUACGUCGGCAACGAUG
rnacentral:rRNA from 1 species